GCACAAGCGGUGGAGCAUGUGGUUAAUUCGAAGCAACGCGAAGAACCUUACCAGGUCUUGACAUCCCCUGACAACCCAAGAGAUUGGGCGUUCCCCUUCGGGGGACAGGGUGACAGGUGGUGCAUGGUUGUCGUCAGCUCGUGUCGUGAGAUGUUGGGUUAAGUCCCGCAACGAGCGCAACCCUCGCCUCUAGUUGCCAGCAUUCGGUUGGGCACUCUAGAGGGACUGCCGGCGACAAGUCGGAGGAAGUGGGAUGACGUCAAAUCAUCAUGCCCCUUAUGACCUGGGCUACACACGUGCUACAAUGGGCGGUACAAAGGGCUGCGAACCCGCGAGGGGGAGCCAAUCCCAAAAAGCCGCUCUCAGUUCGGAUUGCAGGCUGCAACUCGCCUGCAUGAAGCCGGAAUCGCUAGUAAUCGCGGAUCAGCAUGCCGCGGUGAAUACGUUCCCGGGCCUU
rnacentral:rRNA from 1 species